CACGCCGUAAACUAUGGAUGCUAGCUGUACACCGUAUCGACCCGGUGUGUAGCGAAGCUAACGCGUUAAGCAUCCCGCCUGUGGAGUACGAGCGCAAGCUUAAAACAUAAAGGAAUUGACGGGGACCCGCACAAGCGGUGGAGCGUGUUGUUUAAUUCGAUGGUAAGCGAAGAACCUUACCAAGGCUUGAAAUCCUGAGAAGCACUGCGAAAGCAGAGUGUGCCUUCGGGAACUCAGUGACAGGUGU
rnacentral:rRNA from 1 species